rnacentral:rRNA from 1 species
UGGGGAAUUUUGGACAAUGGGCGAAAGCCUGAUCCAGCAAUGCCGCGUGUGUGAAGAAGGCCUUCGGGUUGUAAAGCACUUUUGUCCGGAAAGAAAUCCUUGGCUCUAAUACAGUCGGGGGAUGACGGUACCGGAAGAAUAAGCACCGGCUAACUACGUGCCAGCAGCCGCGGUAAUACGUAGGGUGCAAGCGUUAAUCGGAAUUACUGGGCGUAAAGCUUGCGCAGGCGGUUUGCUAAGACCGAUGUGAAAUCCCCGGGCUCAACCUGGGAACUGCAUUGGUGACUGGCAGGCUAGAGUAUGGCAGAGGGGGGUAGAAUUCCACGUGUAGCAGUGAAAUGCGUAGAGAUGUGGAGGAAUACCGAUGGCGAAGGCAGCCCCCUGGGCCAAUACUGACGCUCAUGCACGAAAGCGUGGGGAGCAAACAGGAUUAGAUACCCUGGUAGUCCACGCCCUAAACGAUGUCAACUAGUUGUUGGGGAUUCAUUUCCUUAGUAACGUAGCUAACGCGUGAAGUUGACCGCCUGGGGAGUACGGUCG